GUCUACAGCCAUGCCACUCUGAACAAGCCCGAUCCCAUCUGAUCUCAGAAGCUAAGCAGGGUCGGGCCUGGUUAGUACUUGGAUAGGAGACCACCUAGGAAGACCAGAUGCUGUAGGCA
rnacentral:rRNA from 1 species